CCUACGGGUGGCUGCAGUGGGGAAUAUUGGACAAUGGGCGAAAGCCUGAUCCAGCCAUGCCGCGUGUGUGAAGAAGGCCUUCGGGUUGUAAAGCACUUUCAGUGGGGAAGAAAGCCUUGGGGCUAAUACCCUCGAGGAAGGACAUCACCCACAGAAGAAGCACCGGCUAACUCCGUGCCAGCAGCCGCGGUAAUACGGAGGGUGCGAGCGUUAAUCGGAAUUACUGGGCGUAAAGCGCGCGUAGGCGGUCUGAUAAGCCGGUUGGGAAAGCCCCGGGCUCAACCUGGGAACGGCAUCCGGAACUGUCAGGCUAGAGUGCAGGAGAGGAAGGUAGAAUUCCCGGUGUAGCGGUGAAAUGCGUAGAGAUCGGGAGGAAUACCAGUGGCGAAGGCGGCCUUCUGGACUGACACUGACGCUGAGGUGCGAAAGCGUGGGUAGCAAACAGGAUUAGAUACCCGUGUAGUC
rnacentral:rRNA from 1 species